AACGAACGCUGGCGGCAUGCCUAACACAUGCAAGUCGAACGAGACCUUCGGGUCUAGUGGCGCACGGGUGCGUAACGCGUGGGAACCUGCCUUUAGGUUCGGAAUAACUCAGAGAAAUUUGAGCUAAUACCGGAUAAUGUCUUCGGACCAAAGAUUUAUCGCCUUUAGAUGGGCCCGCGUAAGAUUAGCUAGUUGGUGGGUAAAGGCCUACCAAGGCGACGAUCUUUAGCUGGUCUGAGAGGAUGAUCAGCCACACUGGGACUGAGACACGGCCCAGACUCCUACGGGAGGCAGCAGUGGGGAAUAUUGGACAAUGGGCGAAAGCCUGAUCCAGCAAUGCCGCGUGAGUGAUGAAGGCCUUAGGGGUUGUAAAGCUCUUUUACCCGAGAUGAUAAUGACAGUAUCGGGAGAAUAAGCUCCGGCUAACUCCGUGCCAGCAGCCGCGGUAAU
rnacentral:rRNA from 1 species